CAGCAAGAAUUAUCAAGACCAAGCAGUGGUGUGACAUGCUUCCGUGUCUGGAGGGGGAAGGCUGCGACUUGCUAAUCAACCGGUCAGGCUGGACGUGCACGCAGCCCGGCGGGAGGAUAAAGACUACUACGGUCUCCUGACAAACACAGCCCCUGAGGGGCCCUGGGAGUGGCCUUGGCUCCCCUGGAGAGCCCACGCCUCAGCCACAGUUCUCUGCCCGCCUCGGACUUCGCCCAUUCUCUGCCGCCCGCCCACUCCGUUUCCCUGUGGUCCGUGAAGGACGGCCUCAGGCCUCGGCAUCCUGAGCUUCGGUCUGUCCAGCCGACCUGAGGUGGCCGGACUGGACACACAGGCGGGGGGCGGCACCGGGCAUCAGCAAUACGCAGUCUGUGGGAGCCCGGCCGCGCCCAGCCCCCGCCGACCGUGGCGUUGGCCCUGCUGUCCUCGGAGGAGGAGGAGGAGGAGGAGGCUCCGGCAGCCCAGCCCGCCUGAGACACGACGCCCGCCCCAGGGGACUGUCAGGCGUACAAGUGGCCUCCUCCCGUGCCCCAGACUGUCCGAAUUGCUUUUAUUUUCUUAUACUUUCAGUAUACUCCAUAGACCAAAGAGCAAAAUCUAUCUGAACGUGGACGCACCCUCACUGUCAGGAUCCCUGGGGUCGCUUGUGGGGACGGGAGGGCAUGGUGGCAGAGACAUGCUGGUGGCCCUGGCGGAGCGGAGAGGGCGGCCGUGGUGGAGGCCUCCACCCCAGGAGCACCCCGGCGCACCCUAGGAGGAUGGGCUUUGGCUGCGCGGAGGCCGUGGCACACUCGCGGGAGGCAGCCGGGGCGCGGCCGGCGAUGGCCCCCACGCAGACGCCGAGAGCCCCGGGGAACACAGGCCGUUUGAUUCCUCUGUACUUAGACCGACUUUACCGUACUAAAAUCACUUUCUGUUUUAACCAGUUAAACAUGCCUCUUCUACAGCUCCAUUUUUGAUAGUUGGAUAAUCCAGUAUCUGCCAAGAGCAUGUUGAGUCUCCCGUGACUGCUGCCUCAUCGAUACUCCAUUUAGCUCCAGAAAGCAAAGAAAACUCGAGUAACACUUGUUUGAAAGAGAUCAUUAAAUGUAUUUUGCAAAGCCUAAAGUUAUAUAUUUAACAGUUUUUAUAUGUUGUAUAUUUGUAGAAAAUCCUAUUUAACAAUUAACGUGGCAGUCCCGGCCGUCCUGAGAGUCGGGCCGCGCCCCGUGGGUUUCUGAAGACUCUGGGGGUGGGACAUGGUGGGGAGGUGGCGCCCCUCAGACCCUGGGGUGCCAGGCGUGGAAGGCGGGACUCUGGGAGAAGCGUGUGGAGGACCGUGGCGUCGGUGUCCCAGACGCGUCGGUCGUGCCCGGGGAGGCCGGGUUCCUUUCGCUGCGGGCCAGGUUUGGUGGCUCUUGAUUCCCGCUUUGGUCUCUGCGUUGGUCAACACUGAGUGUACAAUAUUUUGAACAUGCUUCUUCCAAUGGGUUUUGUUUCCCGUUUCCUGCCCCUUUCGCCACUCACGGACCUUGAGGCCAGUUGGCGGCCCUCCUCCCCACGUCUGUGUCCCCGCGUUCUGAGAAGUCCUCCGUCUUUGUGUCAGUAGGUCCAGAAAGCCGCGCUGGGCAGAGGCACAGGCGGGGCCAGCAGGGCCGAGGAAUAAGGGACAGUUGUGUUUUUUCUCUCCUGGCCGUCGUACGCCAGCCUCCUUCAUUUUCCUGAGUUCCCGCUGAAGUAUAUACUACCUACAAGUCCAAUUAACAUGAGUAUUAUGCUAGUUCUAUCCUACUAAAAAAGCGUAAAAAGAUAACUAUAGCUGUUCCAGCAACCAUAGACUAAAGAUACGAAAGAAAAUCCAUUUAUUUAAGACCUGUUUCAGUAUCCAUGAGGACUUCAUUUACCUUUCAGUCACCACAAAUUUAUAGGCAUUAGUAUCCCGGACUAAAAGAAGGGGCUGAUGUUGGGUUUGUCAUUACAGAGGGGGCCCACCCUUCCUGAGCUGCCCCGGCUCCAGCGGCCCGGGCCGCAGCCUCUGCCAGCCAGCGUCCUCACGGCCUCCCCCUCGCCUGUUUCUUUUGAAAGCAAGUGUAGACACCGUCGAGGGCAGAGAUCGGGAGAUUUAAGAUGUUACAGCAUUUUUUUUUUUUUUCUUGUUUUACAGUAUUCAAUUUUGUGUUGAUUCAGCUAAAUUAUGAAAAAUAAAGAAAAACUCCUUUGAUAA